rnacentral:sRNA from 1 species
GCCUUCAGCCGGGAGGCGCGGAGCCGCUCCAGCCGUCCUGCCGCCGUCCGCGCGGGCCGUCCGUCCCUUCGGGGCCCCCGGGCCCCGGGCCCGCGGCUCCGGGGGGCGGGCGGGGACCCCCGGGGCCCACCGGCCGCCCGGGUGGUCGAGGACGCCGUCUGCCGGGCGCCUAGCAGCGGCCCCGAGCCCCUGCGCGGCGCGCGCGGCUCCGGAAGCCCGGCCUGGGGCGUACUGGGGCCGAGGCGGUGGCCGGGCCCGGGAGCCCCCGCCGGCCGCGGAGCUGGUGGGCAGCGCCGUGUGGCGCGUGGAACGCGCGGGGGCCGGGGGCUGGCGCUGGGAGCGCGCCGUCGGCGUGGACUGCAGCGCCCCGGAACCGCGCUGCCUCUGGCUGCCCUGUCUCAGCCACAGCGACCGCCGCGCGCCCGGGCCGCGCCGGGCCAGGCUGCCACUGGGCCCAAGAGAUGGGUGCUCUCCUAGGCGCCCCUUCCCCUGGCAGGGGCCGAGGACGCUGCUGCUGCACAAAAGUCCCCAGGACGG